CAUCUCUCUCCGUCCUUCUGCAGAACAUAACGCUAACUUCUGUUUCAGAAGAAACCCUAAUCUGCAAGACUCGAACCAGGUAUUUGCCUUCGAAUCUCCAUAAAGAUUCCCAUUUUACCGCCCCAAUGGUGUGCUCUUGUAUGAUUUGGAAAUUUUCAUCUUCCAUCUCUUUCUGUCUCUCCCUCGCCGCAGCGCCGCUGUUUUCCUUGCCGUAGAACGUCCCAGCUCUGCCUUCCCCGCCAUCUUCGCCCUCUCUCUGGGAUAAAGUUAUGGCAAUGAACCAUGUUAGAUCGGUUAGAGGGAUCAUCGUUAGCAAGGAGGCAAUUAGGGUGACAUGCCAACGAACAUAUUCUGCUGGUAAAGCAAAGAAGGGCUCUAAAGGGAGUGCGGCCAGUGAUGCACCAAAAGCUUCAAUUCUUAGCAAAGAAGUCAAGUCUACUACAGUGGUUGGUGCCAAUAUCCUCAAGGAUGGGGCAGACCCCAAGAUCCUGGCUGAUUCUGAAUACCCUGAUUGGCUGCGGCAUUUGAUCGAUAAACGCCCAGCAUUGAGUGAAUUAAGGAGGAAGAACAUUGAAACUCUCCCUUAUGAAGAUCUCAAACGCUUUGUUAAAUUGGACAACCGAGCAAGGAUCAAGGAAAACAACUCCAUUAAGGCUAAGAACUGAGAAAGAAAAAUUGUUAAGAGGCAUUAUUACUUUGUGAAGUGUGAUUCAUUUUUAUGUUCUGGGAUUCCUUUGAGUGAUUAACCUGGAUGUGUGGAAAUGGUCAAAUGGGAUCAGGACAGAGCAGAAGUGAUUGGCAUUUCUCUGUAGCUUCCGGCACUUUUUUGUUUACUUUCUAGAUUUACCAAGUUUAAUGGUGUAAAAAGACUUGGUAAAAAGAUCUGAUAUGUUGUCGCUUGCGAAGUGGCAGAACCCUACCAUGGUACUACCUUUUGCUUAACAUUAUAAUGGGACUGGGUUGUACAGUCUCUUUGUGGUUUUUUAGGUGGUCUUGGGUUAUGAUCUUCUCUCUUUAUGGUAGGAUUUGUGCUCAUUGAUGUUUUGACUGUUUGACAGAACCACGAUAGUCCUCUAGUUAUGUGCCUUGAGGUGCUGGACCUCCGACAUGAUACUCUAUUUAGGCACCAUUAUGCAAGCUUUAAUCCGCGAAUUGAGGUGCUGGAUCCAUAUAACUAUAGAAUGGAGAUUAUUUGAUAAAAGUGAGAAAAAUAAUCCUCUGCCUAACCGUCUAGUUAUACUUGCUGUCCAUGUUGGAUCUUGUGGGCGUUUCUUUGGAAAAUUAAGAUAAAUUAUCGACAGGCUCUAUUGGAUGUUGAGUUCCAUCCAGUUGCAAGGUAAGGAUGCAACAUUAUAAGAUGCUUUCAUUGAGUUUGCUCUACGGCAUUGUUUUUCCCUCGUUGGAUUAAACAUGUGAGGUAAGGUUCAUACAGACUAUUCCAUCUUGUUCAUUGCAUUAUUCAGCUGGGUCCAGAAUUUCGGUUCCGCCAUCAAAGUUCAUAGGUGGAAGCCACAUCCUCUUGUUCCAUCCCCUCUUCCCCAACUUUACAAUGGUGGGGGAUCAGUUAUCCUUAAAGACUAGCUGAAAUGUACACCACUUUUCCCCUUUUUCCUGGCAUCAUUGAACUUGGUGGUCCACCCCUUCUCAUGAAAGGCCUUAUGAUUUCGUAUCAAGUGACCUUGAUGAGCUUGCCUUUUUCUUUUUGCGUGGAUUAAGAACAUAUGGAGAGAGUGACAUAAUGUAUAAUGAUCAUUAUCAUUUUAUAAGAUAAAUAAAUUGGUGUUCCAGAUUUGUUGUUGCUCAAUAGUUUAGAAGAUAUAUUCUGCAGAGCAUGAAGCAUCAUACUGCAGCAUGGUUUACAAUCCGACACUUUAGCUCGCUAUAAUGGUGUUGGGAGUCAUGAAGAUGAGGCUUCAUGACUCCCACUAAAGAAGGAAAGUGACUGGUGGAAGCAGAAGAAAGGAAAAAGAAAAGAAAGUAAGCAAGAAAAUGAUAGAAGUCGGGCAACAAGUCAUAUGCAUUAUUAUUGUUAAAGCAGUUGUGCAGUUUCCGGCUUUUAAAGUGCCAAACCAGCCAGGAUCCAGCACUGCUCACCAACUUCCAGGAGAAGUGCAAGGGCCGAUAUAAAGCUUGAACCAAUUAACAACCCCCCACACUAGGCUUCUCAUCGAAUGUAUAUCUCUCACAUUAUGCCAUAUUUCAUGUCACUGGGUUUGAACUUUGAAGGACCGAUGGAGAGAAACAUGUGCUUAUAGGGUUACUGACAUUUAUUGUCCCGAAUGGAGUAGAUCUGAUAACUAAUCACACUAUUUCUUUUGGUUGGAUCCUAAUUUUUAUCCUAAAUUUUGCUGGGAAAAGAGUAAUAUAAAAUGUAAAUAUCAUUUUAAAAUUA